UACACAUGGCAGUCGGACGGUAGCACAGAGGAGCUUGCUCCUUGGGUGACGAGUGGCGGACGGGUGAGUAAUGUCUGGGGAUCUGCCCGAUAGAGGGGGAUAACCACUGGAAACGGUGGCUAAUACCGCAUAACGUCGCAAGACCAAAGAGGGGGACCUUCGGGCCUCUCACUAUCGGAUGAACCCAGAUGGGAUUAGCUAGUAGGCGGGGUAAUGGCCCACCUAGGCGACGAUCCCUAGCUGGUCUGAGAGGAUGACCAGCCACACUGGAACUGAGACACGGUCCAGACUCCUACGGGAGGCAGCAGUGGGGAAUAUUGCACAAUGGGCGCAAGCCUGAUGCAGCCAUGCCGCGUGUAUGAAGAAGGCCUUCGGGUUGUAAAGUACUUUCAGCGGGGAGGAAGGCGAUGCGAUUAAUAACCGCGUCGAUUGACGUUACCCGCAGAAGAAGCACCGGCUAACUCCGUGCCAGCAGCCGCGGUAAU
rnacentral:rRNA from 1 species